rnacentral:rRNA from 1 species
AUUGAACGCUGGCGGCAUGCCUUACACAUGCAAGUCGAACGGCAGCACGGGUGCUUGCACCUGGUGGCGAGUGGCGAACGGGUGGGUAAUACAUCGGAACGUACCUUAUCGUGGGGGAUAAAGCAGCGAAAGCUGUGCUAAAACCGCAUACGCCCUGAGGGGGAAAGCGGGGGAUCGCAAGCCCUCGGGCGAUUAGAGCGGCCGAUGCCUGAUUAGCUUGUUGGUGGGGUAAAAGCCGACCAAGGCGACGAUCAGUAGCUGGUCUGAGCGGACGAUCAGCCACACUGGGACUGAGACACGGCCCAGACUCCUACGGGAGGCAGCAGUGGGGAAUUUUGGACAAUGGGGGCAACCCUGAUCCAGCAAUGCCGCGUGAGUGAAGAAGGCCUUCGGGUUGUAAAGCUCUUUUGUCAGGGAAGAAACACCGGCUCUAACACAGUCUGGGAAUGACGGUACCUGAAGAAUAAGCACCGGCUAACUACGUGCCAGCCGCCGCAGUAA